rnacentral:rRNA from 1 species
AGAGUUUGAUCCUGGCUCAGGAUGAACGCUGGCGGCAUGCCUAAUACAUGCAAGUCGAACGAGAGGAAGGAAAGCUUGCUUUUCUGAAUCUAGUGGCGAACGGGUGAGUAACACGUAGGUAACCUGCCCAUGUGCCCGGGAUAACUUCUGGAAACGGAUGCUAAAACCGGAUAGGUAGCAGACAAGCAUUUGACUGCUAUUAAAGUGGCCUUGGCCAUGAACAUGGAUGGACCUGCGGUGCAUUAGCUGGUUGGUGAGGUAACGGCCCACCAAGGCGACGAUGCAUAGCCGGCCUGAGAGGGCGGACGGCCACAUUGGGACUGAGACACGGCCCAAACUCCUACGGGAGGCAGCAGUAGGGAAUUUUCGUCAAUGGGGGGAACCCUGAACGAGCAAUGCCGCGUGAGUGAGGAAGGUCUUCGGAUCGUAAAGCUCUGUUGUAAGAGAAAAACGGCACUCAUAGGGAAUGAUGAGUGAGUGAUGGUAUCUUACCAGAAAGUCACGGCUAACUACGUGCCAGCAGCCGCGGUAAUACGUAGGUGGCGAGCGUUAUCCGGAAUGAUUGGGCGUAAAGGGUGCGUAGGUGGCAGAUCAAGUCUGGAGUAAAAGGUAUGGGCUCAACCCGUACUGGCUCUGGAAACUGAUCAGCUAGAGAACAGAAGAGGACGGCGGAACUCCAUGUGUAGCGGUG